rnacentral:rRNA from 1 species
CGAGAAAGCCCGCAAGGGUGAGUAAAGCGGCGCACGGGUGAGUAACACGUGGGUAAUCUGCCCUGGAGUCCGGAAUAACUCGCCGAAAGGCGUGCUAAUGCCGGAUAAGACCACGGGAGCCUCGGCUCCUGUGAGAAAAGGUGGCCUCUGUACACAAGCUAUCGCCCCAGGAUGAGCCCGCGUCCCAUCAGCUAGUUGGCGGGGUAAUGGCCCACCAAGGCUACGACGGGUAGCUGGUCUGAGAGGACGAUCAGCCACACUGGAACUGAGACACGGUCCAGACUCCUACGGGAGGCAGCAGUGGGGAAUCUUGCGCAAUGGGCGAAAGCCUGACGCAGCAACGCCGCGUGUGUGAUGAAGGUCUUCGGAUCGUAAAGCACUGUCGCGAGGGACG